rnacentral:rRNA from 1 species
UGGGGAAUAUUGCACAAUGGGGGAAACCCUGAUGCAGCAACGCCGCGUGAGUGAAGAAGUAUUUCGGUAUGUAAAGCUCUAUCAGCAGGGAAGAAGAUGACGGUACCUGACCAAGAAGCCCCGGCUAACUACGUGCCAGCAGCCGCGGUAAUACGUAGGGGGCAAGCGUUAUCCGGAUUUACUGGGUGUAAAGGGAGCGCAGACGGCAGUGCAAGUCUGGAGUGAAAGCCCGGGGCCCAACCCCGGAACUGCUCUGGAAACUGUGCGGCUAGAGUACUGGAGGGGCAGGCGGAAUUCCUAGUG